rnacentral:lncRNA from 1 species
AGUAAAUUCCCAUUUUUCAGGAGGGUCUUGAACAAAAAGUAAAUUUCCAUUUUUCAGGAAGGUACUGAACAUAAAGUAAAAUCCCGUUUUUAGGAGGGUCCUGAACAGAAAGUAAAAGCCCAUUUUUCAGGAGGGUCCUGAACAUAAAGUAAAAUCCCAUUUUCCAGGAGGGACCUGAACAGAAAGUAAAAUCCCAUUUUUA